rnacentral:rRNA from 1 species
GACGAACGCUGGCGGCGUGCUUAACACAUGCAAGUCGAACGGAAAGGCCCUGCUUUUGUGGGGUGCUCGAGUGGCGAACGGGUGAGUAACACGUGAGUAACCUGCCCUUGACUUUGGGAUAACUUCAGGAAACUGGGGCUAAUACCGGAUAGGAGCUCCUGCUGCAUGGUGGGGGUUGGAAAGUUUCGGCGGUUGGGGAUGGACUCGCGGCUUAUCAGCUUGUUGGUGGGGUAGUGGCUUACCAAGGCUUUGACGGGUAGCCGGCCUGAGAGGGUGACCGGCCACAUUGGGCCUGCGAUACGGCCCAGACUCCUACGGUAGGCAGCAGUGGGGAAUAUUGCACAAUGGGCGGAAGCCUGAUGCAGCAACGCCGCGUGCGGGAUGACGGCUUUCGGGUUGUAAACCGCUUUCGCCUGUGACGAAGCGUGAGUGACGGUAAUGGGUAAAGAAGCACCGGCUAACUACGUG